AUGGUCAAACAAAGUAAUGGGAAAGUUCCCCAGGACUAUAACUCCCAGAACCCCUCGCUGCAGCUGCUCUGCUUCCCGUUUGGUGACCAACCUGCAGGAGCUGAGUUUGUGGACUGAGAGUCUCCGGGAAGAGGGGCUCCAUGAUGGAGAAGGAUGGAAGUCACGUGACUGAAAGGAUAAUAAACCUCACCCUGGAGAUCAUCUACCUGUUGACCGGAGAGGAUUACACGGUAGUGAAGAAG